rnacentral:rRNA from 1 species
GACAUAGGUUGCGAACGUUAUCCGGAAUUAUUGGGCGUAAAGGGUGCGCAGAUGGUCUGACAAGUUAGCAGUGGCAAAUCGAGGCUCAACCUCGUGGAAACUGGUAAUACUGUCUGACUCGAGUACAGGAGAGGUUAACGGAACUCCAUGUGGAGCGGUAAAAUGUGUAGAUAUAUGGAAGAACACCAAUAACGGCGAAGGCAGUUAACUAUUCUGUUACUGACAUUGAGGCACGAAAGCGUGGGGAGCAAAACGG